rnacentral:misc_RNA from 1 species
GCGGCUGUCUAUUUAACUCUUAAAUGCUAAUCCAACAGAACUUCAUUCCUUGCAAAGGCUAAAUCAUACAACAAAUAACAAUACUACUUCCUGCUGUUCAACUACACAUGACAUGUUUCAUUUAUAGAACAGACUAAAAAAGGUAUCACUAAUCCCCCAUCAAACAGAGUAACAAUCUGGCCCUCAUAAUUUGCAACAAGAUUCUGCAGGAUCCAUUGAACCUCCUGGAGCAGACUCAACCUCAGAUUAUACACGUACCUCCAUUUCUAAAAUUUGCUUAUAGACCAUAUCUCCACUUAGGGUCUAUUAGGUAAAUUGACACCAUAAUAGAUCUUUGCGAACCUGACCAGAAAGCCUUUCAUUUCUGGGCCAGUAUCAUUCCGAGAUAUCCUCCCCUAGAAUCAUCUGUGCCGCCUUGCAGGUGAUCUGGACCUUGACCUCCUUCCCCUGGUAGUCUCAAGAGAAGAGUAGGGAGAAUGCCUGCGCUGAGAAUGCUUGCUAUGAGGUGACCGCGAAACUUGUCUUCUCCUAGACCUGACGGGUGAAGGUGAUAAGUUCCGCUUUCUUGAAUGUAGCUUUCUCUUAGAAUCAUCUGAUACUUCAGCGCUUGAAUCAUUGUCCUUGCUGUUUCUACCCCUACUGCUGGUUGAAGAGGAACGUCUUCUCUUAUGCCUGCUUGAGUCACUAGCGCGUUUAUGUCUUGCUCUAUCUUCCUCCUUAUCCUUCACUCGUCCUCUUUUUCUGUUAUCCUCUUUGGCACUUGAUCUUUGAAGUUUCUCUGCUUCUUUCCUAUCCUCCUUGACAUCAAGAUGAGAAGAUCUUUUUCUUGAUUCAGAUUCCUUUGCAUUUUCUCCAGUCCUAUCACCUCUCUCUUUCAUUCUUUCUUUUGAGCCAUUUUGGUUAUCUGUCUUUUCCUUUCUCAGAUGCAUUUCAUCUUGCCUCCUACGAUUGCCAUCUCCUUUCUCAUCUACCCUACUCCCAUGUUGUGCCUCCUUAAUAUCUUUUCCAGAAUAACUUCUUUUAUUUUCAUGUCGGUUAUCUUCAUUUGAUUUCAUCCUCGUUUCCCUAACUUGAGAAUCUUCUACAACAUUUUCUCCAAGAGCAGACCUCAUUCCAGACCCAUUAGUUGUAUGUAUGGUUUUUCGACUAUCAA